CAACAACAACGACGAAACCAGCAACAACAACUGAAAACACAAAAUCACAAGGUUGGUUGUGGUUUGUUGCAGUUGCAGCACUCUUAAUAACUGUUGUUAUUGUUGUUGGAUUCAUCAGAUGGAAGAAAACUAAAGG